GAACUAUAGAGUUUGAUCCUGGCUCAGAUUGAACGCUGGCGGCAUGCUUUACACAUGCAAGUCGAAC
rnacentral:rRNA from 1 species